AUUGAACGCUGGCGGCAGGCUUAACACAUGCAAGUCGAACGGUAACAUAAAGAAGCUUGCUUCUUUGAUGACGAGUGGCGGACGGGUGAGUAAUGCUUGGGAAUCUAGCUUAUGGAGGGGGAUAACUACGGGAAACUGUAGCUAAUACCGCGUAGAAUCGAGAGAUGAAAGUGUGGGACCUUCGGGCCACAUGCCAUAGGAUGAGCCCAAGUGGGAUUAGGUAGUUGGUGAGGUAAAGGCUCACCAAGCCGACGAUCUCUAGCUGGUCUGAGAGGAUGACCAGCCACACUGGGACUGAGACACGGCCCAGACUCCUACGGGAGGCAGCAGUGGGGAAUAUUGCGCAAUGGGGGCAACCCUGACGCAGCCAUGCCGCGUGAAUGAAGAAGGCCUUCGGGUUGUAAAGUUCUUUCGGUAGCGAGGAAGGCAUUUAGUUUAAUAGACUAGGUGAUUGACGUAA
rnacentral:rRNA from 1 species